UACGUGGGGUGCAAGCGUUAAUCGGAAUUACUGGGCGUAAAGCGUGCGCAGGCGGUUUUGUAAGACUGUCGUGAAAUCCCCGGGCUCAACCUGGGAAUGGCGAUGGUGACUGCAAGGCUAGAGUUUGGCAGAGGGGGGUAGAAUUCCACGUGUAGCAGUGAAAUGCGUAGAUAUGUGGAGGAACACCGAUGGCGAAGGCAGCCCCCUGGGUCAAAACUGACGCUCAUGCACGAAAGCGUGGGGAGCAAACAGG
rnacentral:rRNA from 1 species